rnacentral:rRNA from 1 species
UUGAGACCGGCGCACGGGUGCGUAACGCGUAUGCAAUCUACCUUGUACAGGGGAAUAGCCCAGAGAAAUUUGGAUUAAUGCCCCAUAGUAUAUAACCUUCGCAUGUUGGUUAUAUUAAAGUUCCAACGGUACAAGAUGAGCAUGCGUCCCAUUAGUUAGUUGGUAAGGUAACGGCUUACCAAGACGAUGAUGGGUAGGGGUCCUGAGAGGGAGAUCCCCCACACUGGUACUGAGACACGGACCAGACUCCUACGGGAGGCAGCAGUGAGGAAUAUUGGUCAAUGGUCGCAAGACUGAACCAGCCAUGCCGCGUGCAGGAAGACGGUCCUAUGGAUUGUAAACUGCUUUUAUACAGGAAGAAACCCUCCCACGUGUGGGAGCUUGACGGUACUGUAGGAAUAAGGAUCGGCUAACUCCGUGCCAGCAGCCGCGGUAAUACGGAGGAUCCAAGCGUUAUCCGGAAUCAUUGGGUUUAAAGGGUCCGUAGGCGGUCUUAUAAGUCAGUGGUGAAAGCCCAUCGCUCAACGAUGGAACUGCCAUUGAUACUGUAAGACUUGAAUGCUUAGGAAGUAACUAGAAUAUGUAGUGUAGCGGUGAAAUGCUUAGAUAUUACAUGGAAUACCAAUUGCGAAGGCAGGUUACUACUAAGUGAUUGACGCUGAUGGACGAAAGCGUGGGGAGCGAACAGGAUUAGAUACCCUGGUAGUCCACGCCGUAAACGAUGGAUACUAGCUGUUCGGCGCAAGUUGAGUGGCUAAGCGAAAGUGAUAAGUAUCCCACCUGGGGAGUACGCACGCAAGU